UGAACGCUGGCGGUAGGCCUAACACAUGCAAAUCGAACGGCAGCACAGUAAGAGCUUGCUCUUACGGGUGGCGAGUGGCGGACGGGUGAGGAAUACAUCGGAAUCUACUUUUUCGCGGGGGAUAACGUAGGGAAACUUACGCUAAUACCGCAUACGACCUACGGGUGAAAGCAGGGGAUCUUCGGACCUUGCGCGAUUGAAUGAGCCGAUGUCGGAUUAGCUAGUUGGCGGGGUAAAGGCCCACCAAGGCGACGAUCCGUAGCUGGUCUGAGAGGAUGAUCAGCCACACUGGAACUGAGACACGGUCCAGACUCCUACGGGAGGCAGCAGUGGGGAAUAUUGGACAAUGGGCGCAAGCCUGAUCCAGCCAUACCGCGUGGGUGAAGAAGGCCUUCGGGUUGUAAAGCCCUUUUGUUGGGAAAGAAAAGCAGCAGGUUAAUACCCCGCUGUUCUGACGGUACCCAAAGAAUAAGCACCGGCUAACUUCGUG
rnacentral:rRNA from 1 species